UACGGAGGGGGCAAGCGUUGUUCGGAAUUAUUGGGCGUAAAGCGUAUGUAGGCGGCUAAGCAAGUCAGGCGUGCAAGCCCGUGGCUCAACCACGGAAUUGCGUUUGAAACUGCUUAGCUUGAGUACAGGGGGGGAAAGCGGAAUUCCCAGUGUAGCGGUGAAAUGCAUUGAUAUUGGGAAGAACAUCUGUGGCGAAGGCGGCUUUCUGGUCUGUUACUGACACUGAGGUGCGAAAGCGUGGGUAGCGAACAGG
rnacentral:rRNA from 1 species